AGUGAACGCUGGCGGUAGGCCUAACACAUGCAAGUCGAACGGCAGCACAGUAAGGGCUUGCUCUUACGGGUGGCGAGUGGCGGACGGGUGAGGCAUACAUCGGAAUCUACUUUUUCGUGGGGGAUAACGUAGGGAAACUUACGCUAAUACCGCAUACGACCUACGGGUGAAAUCAGGGGAUCUUCGCACCUUGCGCGAUUGAAUGAGCCGAUGUCGGAUUAGCUAGUUGGCGGGGUAAAGGCCCACCAAGGCGACGAUCCGUAGCUGGUCUGAGAGGAUGAUCAGCCACACUGGAACUGAGACACGGUCCAGACUCCUACGGGAGGCAGCAGUGGGGAAUAUUGGGCAAUGGGCGCAAGCCUGAUCCAGCCAUACCGCGUGGGUGAAGAAGGCCUUCGGGUUGUAAAGCCCUGUUGUUGGGAAAGAAAAGCAGCAGGUUAAUACCCCGCUGUUCUGACGGUACCCAAAGAAUAAGCACCGGCUAACUUCGUG
rnacentral:rRNA from 1 species